rnacentral:piRNA from 1 species
UGAGCAGUUCAUCUCUAGCCAGAAAGC